UGGGGAAUAUUGGACAAUGGGCGAAAGCCUGAUCCAGCCAUGCCGCGUGUGUGAAGAAGGUCUUCGGAUUGUAAAGCACUUUAAGUUGGGAGGAAGGGCAGUAACCUAAUACGUUUCUGUCUUGACGUUACCGACAGAAUAAGCACCGGCUAACUCUGUGCCAGCAGCCGCGGUAAUACAGAGGGUGCAAGCGUUAAUCGGAAUUACUGGGCGUAAAGCGCGCGUAGGUGGUUUGUUAAGUUGGAUGUGAAAUCCCCGGGCUCAACCUGGGAACUGCAUUCAAAACUGACAAGCUAGAGUAUGGUAGAGGGUGGUGGAAUUUCCUGUGUAGCGGUGAAAUGCGUAGAUAUAGGAAGGAACACCAGUGGCGAAGGCGACCACCUGGACUGAUACUGACACUGAGGUGCGAAAGCGUGGGGAGCAAACAGGAUUAGAUACCCGUGUAGUCCCUGAGCGGGCUGGCAAGGCGCAU
rnacentral:rRNA from 1 species